rnacentral:siRNA from 1 species
GCACUCCAAAUGCAUGUUCGAUG